rnacentral:rRNA from 1 species
UACGGGGGGGGCAAGCGUUGUUCGGAAUUACUGGGCGUAAAGGGCCAGUAGGCGGCCAACUAAGUCGGAUGUGAAAUCCCCAGGCUCAACCUGGGAACUGCAUCCGAUACUGGAUGGCUUGAAUUCGGGAGAGGGAUGCAGAAUUCCAGGUGUAGCGGUGAAAUGCGUAGAUAUCUGGAGGAAUACCGGUGGCGAAGGCGGCAUCCUGGACCGACAUUGACGCUGAGGAGCGAAAGCCAGGGGAGCAAACGGG